rnacentral:rRNA from 1 species
CGCGCAGGCGGUAACCGUAAGUCAGACGUGAAAUCCUUCGGCUUAACUGAAGAACUGCGUCUGAAACUGCGUGACUAGAGUGCAGAAGAGGGAAACGGAAUUCCUGGUGUAGAGGUGAAAUUCGUAGAUAUCAGGAGGAACACCGGUGGCGAAGGCGGUUUCCUGGUCUGACACUGACGCUGAGGCGCGAAAGCGUGGGGAGCAAACAGGAUUAGAUACCCUGGUAGUCCACGCCGUAAACGGUGGGUACUGGGUGUGGGAGGUGUAAUGCCUUCUGUGCCGAAGCUAACGCGUUAAGUACCCCGCCUGGGGAGUACGGCCGCAAGGUUGAA